rnacentral:rRNA from 1 species
UGGGGAAUAUUGGACAAUGGGCGAAAGCCUGAUCCAGCCAUGCCGCGUGUGUGAAGAAGGCCUUUUGGUUGUAAAGCACUUUAAGUAGGGAGGAAAAGCUAAUGGUUAAUACCCAUUAGCCCUGACGUUACCUACAGAAUAAGCACCGGCUAACUCUGUGCCAGCAGCCGCGGUAAUACAGAGGGUGCAAGCGUUAAUCGGAAUUACUGGGCGUAAAGCGCGCGUAGGUGGUUACUUAAGUCAGAUGUGAAAGCCCCGGGCUUAACCUGGGAACUGCAUCUGAUACUGGGUGACUAGAGUAGGUGAGAGGGGAGUAGAAUUCCAGGUGUAGCGGUGAAAUGCGUAGAGAUCUGGAGGAAUACCGAUGGCGAAGGCAGCUCCCUGGCAUCAUACUGACACU